CCCGGAUUGUUCAGUCUAUGAGUGAACCCAGGUCCAGAAAUUAACAGGUAAGAUUGAUACCGUUAGAGCGGUAGACCCACAAGGGGUUUUAUAUUUGGAACCGGUUAUUGGAAUCUGCCCUGUCCUAAUGGAUGGAAGAAGUGAAAAGCGCAACGCUUAUCUGGAAAUUAGACGCUCUGUAGUCAGCCCGUCUAAUAUAGGUGGUUUGGGUCAGACUGAGUUCUG
rnacentral:lncRNA from 1 species